rnacentral:rRNA from 1 species
AUGGCGGCGGUGGCGACGACGACGGCGCUCCACGGGAGCCAGGCGGCGGGCGCGCUGGCCGUCGCCGCGCAGAGGCUGCUGGUUCUCCUCGCUCUCGCGAUGGAAGCUGUAAACAAUGGAGCAGAUAUCUUCACUGAGGACCAGCAAGAAAUUAUCAAGCAAUUUGGCAGAAUCAAAUCUGAGACGGUUCCUGAGAACAAGGAUGCAGGGUCUGAUGACGACGAUGAUGAUGAUGAAGAUGAGGAUGAUGAAACUGGUGAUGCUGAUGAUGAUGAUGCUGAUGCUGGGGAGGACUUCUCGGGUGAAGAAGGUGAGGACGAUGACGAGGAUGAUGACCCUGAGGCGAACGGCGAUGACGCUGGUGCGGGGAGCGACGAUGAUGAUGAUGGUGAUGAUGACGAUGAUGAUGGUGAAGAUGGCGAGGAUGACGAUGAUGAUGACGAGGACGACGAUGAGGAGGAUGAGGAAGAUGAGGACCAGCCGCCGGCCAAGAAGAAGAAAUGA